AAGUCACUUCGGUGGCGAGUACAGUGGCGAAAGGGCGAGUAAUGCAUGCCUACGUACCCCAAGGUGAGGGAUAGCUCACCGAAAGGUGUGGUAAUACCUCAUAAUCUCGAAAGAGCAAAGGUUUACUGCCUUGGGAUCGGGGCAUGUCCUAUCAGGUUGUUGGUGAGGUAACGGCUCACCAAGCCAAAGACGGGUAGCGGGUGUGAGAGCAUGACCCGCCGCAUCGGGACUGAGACACUGCCCGGACUCCUACGGGAGGCUGCAGUAACGAAUAUUCCGCAAUGCACGAAAGUGUGACGGAGCAAUGCCGCGUGAAGGUUAAGCCCCUCGGGGUGUAAACUUCUGUCAGGGUUUAGGAAUUUUGACCAGACCCAAAGGAAGGACCGGCUAACUCUGUGCCAGCAGCCGCGGUAAUACAGAGGGUCCAAGCGUUAAUCGGAAUCACUGGGCUUAAAGGGUGCGCAGGCUGGUUUGCAGGCAUCUUGUGAAAUCCCUCGGCUCAACCGGGGAAUUGCAGGGUGAACCGCAAGCCUUGAGCCCGACAGAGGCUGUCAGAACGAUAGGUGGAGCGGUGAAAUGCGUAGAUAUCUAUCGGAAUGCCAAAGGUGAAGACAGGCAGCUGGGUCGGUGCUGACGCUCAGGCACGAAAGCGUGGGUAGCGAACGGGAUUAGAUACCCCGGUAGUCCACGCCCUAAACGAUGCACACUAGAUCGAGGAGGUUUUGACGCCAUCUCGGUCGAAGCAAAAGCGUUAAGUGUGCCGCCUGGGGAGUACGGUCGCAAGACUAAAACUCAAAGGAAUUGACGGGGGCUCACACAAGCGGUGGAGCAUGU
rnacentral:rRNA from 1 species